rnacentral:rRNA from 1 species
CAAUAGCGUAUAUUAAAGUUGUUGCGGUUAAAAAGCUCGUAGUUGGAUUUCUGCCGAGGACGACCGGUCCGCCCUCUGGGUGAGUAUCUGGCUUGGCCUGGGCAUCUUCUUGGAGAACGUAGCUGCACUUGACUGUGUGGUGCGGUAUCCAGGACUUUUACUUUGAGGAAAUUAGAGUGUUUCAAGCAGGCAUGCGCCUUGAAUACAUUAGCAUGGAAUAAUGAGAUAGGGCCACGACGGUCUAUUUUGUUGGUUUGCACGUUGUGGUAAUGAUUAACAGGAACGGUUGGGGGUAUUCGUAUUCAAUUGUCAGAGGUGAAAUUCUUGGAUUUAUGGAAGACGAACUACUGCGAAAGCAUUUACCAAGGAUGUUUUCAUUAAUCAAGAACGAAAGUUAGGGGAUCGAAGAUGAUCAGAU